rnacentral:rRNA from 1 species
UGGGGGAUAUUGCACAAUGGGGGGAACCCUGAUGCAGCGACGCCGCGUGAGUGAAGAAGUAAUUCGUUAUGUAAAGCUCUAUCAGCAGGGAAGAAUAAAUGACGGUACCUGAGUAAGAAGCCCCGGCUAACUACGUGCCAGCAGCCGCGGUAAUACGUAGGGGGCAAGCGUUAUCCGGAUUUACUGGGUGUAAAGGGAGCGUAGACGGCGAUGCAAGCCAGAUGUGAAAGCCCGCAGCUCAACUGCGGUAGUGCAUUUGGAACUGUAUGGCUGGAGUGCAGGAGAGGCAGGCGGAAUUCCUAGUGUAGCGGUGAAAUGCGUAGAUAUUAGGAGGAACACCAGUGGCGAAGGCGGCCUGCUGGACUGUAACUGACGUUGAGGCUCGAAAGCGUGGGGAGCAAACA